AACGCUAGCUACAGGCUUAACACAUGCAAGUCGAGGGGCAGCAUGAACUUAGCUUGCUAAGUUUGAUGGCGACCGGCGCACGGGUGAGUAACGCGUAUCCAACCUUCCGCUUACUCGGGAAUAGCCUUUCGAAAGAAAGAUUAAUACCCGAUGGUAUCUUAAGCGCACAUGCAAAUAAGAUUAAAGAUUUAUCGGUAAGCGAUGGGGAUGCGUUCCAUUAGAUAGUAGGCGGGGUAACGGCCCACCUAGUCGACGAUGGAUAGGGGUUCUGAGAGGAAGGUCCCCCACAUUGGAACUGAGACACGGUCCAAACUCCUACGGGAGGCAGCAGUGAGGAAUAUUGGUCAAUGGACGAGAGUCUGAACCAGCCAAGUAGCGUGAAGGAUGAAGGUCCUACGGAUUGUAAACUUCUUUUAUAAGGGAAUAAAACCUCCCACGUGUGGGAGCUUGUAUGUACCUUAUGAAUAAGCAUCGGCUAACUCCGUGCCAGCAGCCGCGGUAAUACGGAGGAUGCGAGCGUUAUCCGGAUUUAUUGGGUUUAAAGGGAGCGCAGACGGGUCGUUAAGUCAGCUGUGAAAGUUUGGGGCUCAACCUUAAAAUUGCAGUUGAUACUGGCGUCCUUGAGUGCGGUUGAGGUGUGCGGAAUUCGUGGUGUAGCGGUGAAAUGCUUAGAUAUCACGAAGAACUCCGAUUG
rnacentral:rRNA from 1 species